UAAGAAAGAAGUAGGAAAGAAAGUGGUAAA
rnacentral:piRNA from 1 species